GGGUUGUGAGGUUAAGCGACUAAGCGUACACGGUGGAUGCCCUGGCAGUCAGAGGCGAUGAAGGACGUGCUAAUCUGCGAAAAGCGUCGGUAAGGUGAUAUGAACCGUUAUAGCCGGCGAUGUCCGAAUGGGGAAACCCAGUGCAAUUCGUUGCACUAUCGUUAACUGAAUACAUAGGUUAACGAGGCGAACCGGGGGAACUGAAACAUCUAAGUACCCCGAGGAAAAGAAAUCAACCGAGAUUCCCCCAGUAGCGGCGAGCGAACGGGGAGCAGCCCGGAGUCUGAAUCAGCUUGUGUGUUAGUGGAAGCGUCUGGAAAGUCGCAGGGUACAGGGUGAUACUCCCGUACACUAAAACACACAGGUUGUGAACUCGAAGAGUAGGGCGGGACACGUGGUAUCCUGUCUGAAUAUGGGGGGACCAUCCUCCAAGGCUAAAUACUCCUGACUGACCGAUAGUGAACCAGUACCGUGAGGGAAAGGCGAAAAGAACCCCGGCGAGGGGAGUGAAAAAGAACCUGAAACCGUGUACGUACAAGCAGUAGGAGCCCACUUUUUGGGUGACUGCGUACCUUUUGUAUAAUGGGUCAGCGACUUAUAUUCUGUAGCAAGGUUAACCGUAUAGGGGAGCCGCAGGGAAACCGAGUCUUAACUGGGCGUUAAGUUGCAGGGUAUAGACCCGAAACCCGGUGAUCUAGCCAUGGGCAGGUUGAAGGUUGGGUAACACUAACUGGAGGACCGAACCGACUAAUGUUGAAAAAUUAGCGGAUGACUUGUGGCUGGGGGUGAAAGGCCAAUCAAACCGGGAGAUAGCUGGUUCUCCCCGAAAGCUAUUUAGGUAGCGCCUCGUGAAUUCAUCUUCGGGGGUAGAGCACUGUUUCGGCUAGGGGGUCAUCCCGACUUACCAACCCGAUGCAAACUACGAAUACCGAAGAAUGUUAUCACGGGAGACACACGGCGGGUGCUAACGUCCGUCGUGAAGAGGGAAACAACCCAGACCGCCAGCUAAGGUCCCAAAGUCAUGGUUAAGUGGGAAACGAUGUGGGAAGGCCCAGACAGCCAGGAUGUUGGCUUAGAAGCAGCCAUCAUUUAAAGAAAGCGUAAUAGCUCACUGGUCGAGUCGGCCUGCGCGGAAGAUGUAACGGGGCUAAACCAUGCACCGAAGCUGCGGCAGCGACACUAUGUGUUGUUGGGUAGGGGAGCGUUCUGUAAGCCGUUGAAGGUGGCCUGUGAGGGUUGCUGGAGGUAUCAGAAGUGCGAAUGCUGACAUAAGUAACGAUAAUGCGGGUGAAAAACCCGCACGCCGGAAGACCAAGGGUUCCUGUCCAACGUUAAUCGGGGCAGGGUGAGUCGACCCCUAAGGCGAGGCCGAAAGGCGUAGUCGAUGGGAAACAGGUUAAUAUUCCUGUACUCGGUGUUACUGCGAAGGGGGGACGGAGAAGGCUAUGUUGGCCGGGCGACGGUUGUCCCGGUUUAAGCAUGUAGGCGGAUGUUCCAGGUAAAUCCGGAACGUCACUAACGCUGAGGUGUGAUGACGAGGCACUACGGUGCUGAAGUGACAAAUGCCCUGCUUCCAGGAAAAGCCUCUAAGCAUCAGGUAACAUCAAAUCGUACCCCAAACCGACACAGGUGGUCAGGUAGAGAAUACCAAGGCGCUUGAGAGAACUCGGGUGAAGGAACUAGGCAAAAUGGUGCCGUAACUUCGGGAGAAGGCACGCUGAUGGUAGGUGAAGUGACUUGCUCAUGGAGCUGAAAUCAGUCGAAGAUACCAGCUGGCUGCAACUGUUUAUUAAAAACACAGCACUGUGCAAACACGAAAGUGGACGUAUACGGUGUGACGCCUGCCCGGUGCCGGAAGGUUAAUUGAUGGGGUUAUCCGUAAGGAGAAGCUCUUGAUCGAAGCCCCGGUAAACGGCGGCCGUAACUAUAACGGUCCUAAGGUAGCGAAAUUCCUUGUCGGGUAAGUUCCGACCUGCACGAAUGGCGUAAUGAUGGCCAGGCUGUCUCCACCCGAGACUCAGUGAAAUUGAACUCGCUGUGAAGAUGCAGUGUACCCGCGGCAAGACGGAAAGACCCCGUGAACCUUUACUAUAGCUUGACACUGAACACUGGUCCUUGAUGUGUAGGAUAGGUGGGAGGCUUUGAAGUGUGGACGCCAGUCUGCAUGGAGCCAUCCUUGAAAUACCACCCUUUAAUGGCUGGUGUUCUAACGUGGGCCCCUGAUCGGGGUUGCGGACAGUGUCUGGUGGGUAGUUUGACUGGGGCGGUCUCCUCCUAAAGAGUAACGGAGGAGCACGAAGGUCAGCUAAUCCUGGUCGGACAUCAGGAGGUUAGUGCAAUGGCAUAAGCUGGCUUGACUGCGAGCGUGACGGCGCGAGCAGGUGCGAAAGCAGGUCAUAGUGAUCCGGUGGUUCUGAAUGGAAGGGCCAUCGCUCAACGGAUAAAAGGUACUCCGGGGAUAACAGGCUGAUACCGCCCAAGAGUUCAUAUCGACGGCGGUGUUUGGCACCUCGAUGUCGGCUCAUCACAUCCUGGGGCUGAAGUAGGUCCCAAGGGUAUGGCUGUUCGCCAUUUAAAGUGGUACGCGAGCUGGGUUUAGAACGUCGUGAGACAGUUCGGUCCCUAUCUGCCGUGGGCGCUGGAGAAUUGAGGGGGGCUGCUCCUAGUACGAGAGGACCGGAGUGGACGCAUCACUGGUGUUCGGGUUGUCAUGCCAAUGGCAUUGCCCGGUAGCUAAAUGCGGAAGAGAUAAGUGCUGAAAGCAUCUAAGCACGAAACUUGCCCCGAGAUGAGUUCUCCCUGACUCCUUGAGAGUCCUGAAGGAACGUUGAAGACGACGACGUUGAUAGGCCGGGUGUGUAAGCGCAGCGAUGCGUUGAGCUAACCGGUACUAAUGAACCGUGAGGCUUAACCUUACAACGCCGAAG
rnacentral:rRNA from 1 species